rnacentral:rRNA from 1 species
UAAUACGUAGGGGGCUAGCGUUGUCCGGAAUCAUUGGGCGUAAAGCGCGUGUAGGCGGUCCGGUAAGUCCGCUGUGAAAGUCGGGGGCUCAACCCUCGAAAGCCGGUGGAAACUGUCGGGCUAGAGUGCGGAAGAGGCGAGUGGAAUUCCUGGUGUAGCGGUGAAAUGCGCAGAUAUCAGGAGGAACACCAAUUGCGAAGGCAGCUCGCUGGGACGUUACUGACGCUGAGACGCGAAAGCGUGGGGAGCAAACAGGAUUAGAUACCCUGGUAGUCCACGCCGUAAACGAUGGGCACUAGGUGUGGGGGGUGUCGACUCCCUCCGUGCCGAAGCUAACGCAUUAAGUGCCCCGCCUGGGGAGUACGGCCGCAAGGCUA